rnacentral:rRNA from 1 species
GACGAACGCUGGCGGCGUGCUUAACACAUGCAAGUCGAACGGAAAGGCCCAGCUUUUGUGGGGUGCUCGAGUGGCGAACGGGUGAGUAACCCGUGAGUAACCUUCCCUUGACUUUGGGAUAACUUCCGGAAACUGGGGCUAAUACCGGAUAGGAGCUCCUGCUGCAUGGUGGGGGUUGGAAAGUUUCGGCGGUUGGGGAUGGACUCGCGGCGUAUCAGAUUGUUGGUGGGGUAGUGGCUUAUCAAGUCUUUGGCGGGUAUCCGGCCGGAGAGGGUGACCGGCCACAUUGGGAGUGAGAUACGGCCCAGACUCCUACGGGAGGCAGCAGUGGGUAAUAUUGCACAAUGGGCGGAAGCCUGAUGCAGCAACGCCGCGUGCGGGAUUACGGCCUUCGGGUUGUAAACCGCUUUCGCCUGUGACGAAGCGUGAGUGACGGUAAUGGGUAAAGAAGCACCGGCUAACUACGUG